UUCAGUCUCCACAGUUCCCUCUCUGGAUGUGGAUGGCACUUUUCAUCCCAAGUUGUAGUUGUUAUUUGUUGUGUUGAAAUUGCCUUGGAUCUCCUCAUUGUUGAAAAGAGGUAAGUCCAUCACACUUGAUCAUGAGAUUUCGUCUUAGAACAAAAAUCUAUUUUAUUGAGUAUAAAAAUUGAACCUAUUCUUUAAUUCAAAAUUUAAAAAUCUUUUUAAAGAAACAUUGAUUUUCCCCCAUAUUCCUUUUCCUUCCCAAUUUAGAAAAUAAAAAAGGAAAAAAAAAAACUUUGUAACAUAUUGUCGAAGAAAACAAAUUGUCCUAUAUGCUAUGUCCAAAAAGAAAUCUAUGUCUUAUUUUGCAUUAAAUCCAUCACAUCUUUAUGAGAAGUAGUUUCUUAUCAUUUCUCUGAAAUCAAGGAAGGUGGAUGAGGUGAGGAGAGGGCAGAACACAUUCUUAGCUUUCCAAACUUUUUCCUUACCUCCCAUCCUGCAUCCCCACCUGCCUAUUAGGUAUCUUGAAAUGGAUAGCCUAUGGAUAAAUCAACAUAAUGGAAACUCGAUUCUAUCUUCCCUGUCCUACGACUUUACUUAAGCAACUAAAAUCUCAUCUAUGGUCUCUUCACUCCAGUGCUGCUACCACCCGGGGGUCCAGGCACCCCUCCCCUCAUAUUUGGAUCAUCCCAGGUCCCUGCGCCGCUCUCAAGUAUCUGCCCACGCCAGACCAUAACUCAGACAUAAACGUCUUUCUAAAUCCUCUCACACCUCCCUCUACCCCACAACUUCCCGUGGGUUCCUAUUACCUCAAGAAUCAAAUAUGGGAUCCUGUUUGGCUCUUAACCCCUUCACAACUUGACCUUUUCCUAUAGAUCCUCCUUCUAUUGUCCACCACCCCAGCUCCUUACUUCUCCCUUCAUUCUGCAGUUUAGCGACCCUGCGGGGGAGGGGUGGCGCUGGGGUGGCGCUGGGGUGGAGGGGGGAGGGGAGCCCCCCCCCCUUCUUAUGUAGGACAAGCCAUUUCCUGGCCCCAGCACUUUCCUCCGGCUGUCCCUCAUGCCUGGCACACUCUCCGUCUUUAUUGCCAUCUGCUUGCUUGCUUUUAGUCCCAUCUUUUAUAGGAAGUCUUUUUUGAUCCUCCUAAAUGUCCUCCCUCUGUACUUAUCUUAAAUUUAUGCUGUCUAUACUUCGUUUUUAAGUGGUUGUUUGCACUCGUUUCCCCCAUCAGACUGUGAACUCCUGAAGGCUCUUUGUAUGCUCAGCAUUUAGUACAGUGUCUGGCACAUAGUAGGUGCAUUAUAAAUACGAGGAGGUUCGAUUUGAUUUUUCUGCAGGAAGCAGAACUCUGUGAACUGUUAUUCUGGGCAGAAAUGCGUACUGUACUUUGAAGGUGGAGACGACUCCUGUGAAUUAUUAGUGCAGGUCAGGAUGGGGAUAGGGUGGGGUGAAAACAAGAGGAGGGAGGAAAAACCAGGCCGGGGCUCGACCUUGAAGAGAGUCUCACUGCAGGAGAUGUGGUAGGAGGGCGAGAUGACGCAUGCGCAGAACUUUCCUGUGCGUCCGCUCCCCGGAUUCUCCGUAGACAGCACCUCGACCCCUUCGCGCCUGCCUCGUUCUGGGCCGAGAGGCGUCCUGUGCGCAGGCGCCGCUCUCGGAGGGAUCAUGGCGGCGGCGCUGCUGCUGUUUGUUUCGCUCCGCCGCCGGCCGGGCCGAUGGCGGCUCCAGGCUGCGGGAUCCAGCUGGAGCCUCAGGCCAGUCGCCGCCGCUGCCGCUGGGUUCGGGAACAGGCGGUUCUGCUGCUCCUCGGGCGGUCCUGCUGGGGCUGGCGGCCGAGUCCUACAGAGUUUACUUUUGAGGACAUUGUCCCCUACCUUUCAAGGAAUCAGAGGACUGCUGUUGAAACAACAUCUAAUUCAGAAUCCAGUCAGACUCUGGAAACUUUUAGGUGGUACUUCUUAUUUUAGUACCUCCAAGAUGAAGCAAAAGAAUAAGGAGAAAGAAAAAUCCAAGGAAAAAAUACCAGAAGAUGAUGAAGAGGAAAAGAAACGGAAAGAACGGGAAGAUCAGAUGUAUCGUGAACGAUUACGGACCUUAUUUGUCAUUGCUGUUAUCAUGAGCCUGCUGAACUCUCUAAACAUUAGUGUGGCUAGCAUUUCCUGGAGCGACUUUGUGAAUGAGAUGCUGGCAAAGGGGGAAGUGCAACGGGUCCAGGUGGUGCCAGAGAGCGAUGUAGUGGAAAUCUAUCUGCACCCAGGAGCUGUUGUAUUUGGCCGACCUCGGUUUACCUUGAUGUACCGGAUGCAGGUUGCGAAUAUUGACAAAUUUGAAGAGAAACUGCGAGCUGCUGAAGAUGAACUGAACAUUGAAAGCAGAGACCGGAUUCCAGUGUCCUACAAACGGACAGGCUUCUUUGGAAAUGCACUUUAUGCCCUGGGAAUGACAGCUGUAGGUGUGGCCAUAUUAUGGUGCAUUUUCCGCCUUGCUGGGAUGACAGGAAGGGAAGGAGGAUUCAGUGCUUUUAAUCAAUUGAAAAUGGCUCGCUUCACUAUUGUGGAUGGAAAGCUUGGGAAGGGGAUCAGCUUCAAAGAUGUAGCAGGAAUGCAUGAAGCCAAAUUAGAGGUCAAAGAGUUUGUGGAUUAUCUAAAGAGUCCAGAGCGUUUUCUCCAGCUUGGUGCAAAAGUCCCAAAGGGUGCUUUAUUGCUUGGGCCCCCAGGUUGUGGAAAAACUUUGUUGGCCAAGGCUGUAGCUACAGAAGCCCAAGUGCCAUUCCUGGCAAUGGCUGGUUCAGAGUUUGUGGAAGUGAUAGGAGGUCUUGGAGCUGCUCGAGUUCGAAGCCUGUUUAGAGAAGCCCAGAACCGGGCCCCUUGUAUUGUGUACAUUGAUGAAAUUGAUGCUGUGGGCAAAAAACGAUCUACAACCAUGUCGGGAUUCUCCAACACAGAGGAAGAACAGACUUUAAACCAGCUUCUGGUUGAAAUGGAUGGAAUGGGAACUACAGAUCACGUCAUAGUGUUGGCGUCUACCAAUCGAGCUGAUAUUUUGGAUAAUGCGUUAAUGAGACCAGGGAGACUUGACCGACAUAUUUUUAUUGAUCUCCCUACAUUACAGGAAAGAAGGGAAAUAUUUGAACAGCAUCUGAAGAGUCUGAAGCUGACCCAGACUGGUAGUUUUUAUUCCCAACGCCUUGCAGAGCUCACGCCUGGGUUUAGCGGAGCUGACAUUGCAAAUAUAUGUAAUGAAGCUGCUCUACAUGCUGCAAGAGAAGGACACAAAUCAAUUGAUACAUUUAAUUUUGAAUAUGCUGUGGAGCGAGUAAUUGCAGGCACUGCCAAAAAAAGCAAGAUUCUGUCCAAAGAGGAGCUAAGGAUUGUGGCUUUUCACGAGUCAGGCCAUGCUUUGGUUGGCUGGCUGCUGGAGCACACAGAGGCAGUGAUGAAGGUAUCCAUAGCACCAAGGACAAAUGCUGCCCUAGGAUUUUCUCAGAUCCUCCCCAAAGACCAGUAUCUCUUUACUAAGGAGCAGCUAUUUGAACGGAUGUGCAUGGCUUUGGGAGGCCGAGUGUCUGAAGCCAUUUCUUUUAAUAAGGUUACAUCAGGAAGCAAAACAGCUGGUCGCUAAAGCAUACAGGCACACAGAGAAAGUACUGCUUGAAAACCAAGCCAAAUUGCAUUCGCUGGCUGACGCUUUGUUGGAGAAGGAAGUGAUAAACUAUGAGGACAUCGAGGCCUUGAUCGGACCGCCUCCCCAUGGGCCCAAAAAGAUGAUCACCCCG